rnacentral:rRNA from 1 species
GCGCAGCAGUCGCGAAACCUCCGCAAUACACGAAAGUGUGACGGGGCCAUCCCGAGUGCCGUCCGCUGAGGACGGCUUUUCCCCAGUGUACACAGCUGGGGGAAUAAGGAGAGGGCAAGCCUGGUGUCAGCCGCCGCGGUAAUACCAGCUCUCCGAGUGGUGGGGACGCUUAUUGGGCCUAAAGCAUCCGUAGCCGGCUGGGCAAGUCCUCCGUUAAAUCCAACGAUUCAAUCGUUGGGCUGCGGGGGAUACUGUCCAGCUUGGGGGCGGGAGAGGCCGACGGUAUUCCCGGGGUAGGGGUGAAAUCCUAUAAUCCCGGGAGGACCACCAGCGGCGAAGGCUGUCGGCUAGAACGCGCCCGACGGUGAGGGAUGAAAGCUGGGGGAGCGAACCGGAUUAGAUACCCCCGUAGU